AGCACAUGUCCUUAAAAGAAACAGGUUCUAGCGCAUAGCGUGAACAGCCUGGAGGUUGAAAAGCGGAUGCGAUUUCCGGCAUGUGCG
ncrna:[Clostridium] clostridioforme 90A6 RAGATH-21 RNA